rnacentral:rRNA from 1 species
UACGUAGGGGGCAAGCGUUGUCCGGAAUCAUUGGGCGUAAAGCGCGUGUAGGCGGUUCGGUAAGUCUGCUGUGAAAGUCCAGGGCUCAACCCUGGGAUGCCGGUGGAUACUGUCGGGCUAGAAUGCGGAAGAGGCGAGUGGAAUUCCCGGUGUAGCGGUGAAAUGCGCAGAUAUCGGGAGGAACACCAAUUGCGAAGGCAGCUCGCUGGGACGUUACUGACGCUGAGACGCGAAAGCGUGGGGAGCAAACAGG